UACGUAGGGUGCGAGCGUUGUCCGGAAUUAUUGGGCGUAAAGAGCUCGUAGGCGGUGUGUCGCGUCGGCCGUGAAAACCUGGGGCUUAACUCUGGGCGUGCGGUCGAUACGGGCAUCACUAGAGUUCGGCAGGGGAGACUGGAAUUCCUGGUGUAGCGGUGAAAUGCGCAGAUAUCAGGAGGAACACCGGUGGCGAAGGCGGGUCUCUGGGCCGUAACUGACGCUGAGGAGCGAAAGCGUGGGGAGCGAACAGGG
rnacentral:rRNA from 1 species